GCGGGGCGCGCGGGAGGCGGAGCCCAGCCGGGGAACCCUGCUCCGGGCGAGCGCCGGGCCCCGCAGAGCAGCCCGGCCGUCCGAGGGCCCCCGCGUCGGGGGCGGCGGGAAACCCCAGACGCAGCUGGGCCGGGAGGGAUCCCCGCGCCGAGCGAGCCUCCACCGCCGCCGCCUCCGCGCCGCCCCCGCGGGCUGCCAGGUGCCCGGCGCGCCCUCGCUCCGCCCGGCCGCCCGCUCCCGCGGUCCCGCCGUCCGCUCGCCCGCCGGGCUCCCACGCGCCAUGCAGCCUCCGCCAGCCCCGCGCGCGUAGGCGCCCGCCGCAGGCCAUGCUGCCCCUGCUCGCCGCGCUGCUGGCCGCCGCCUGCCCGCUGCCGCCCGCCCGCGGCGGGGCCGCGGACGCGCCGGGCCUCCUCGGUGCGCCCCCGAACGCCUCCGUCAACGCGUCGUCUGCGGGCGAGCCCGCCGCCCCGCGGCUGCUGACCUCGGCGGCUCCCGGGCCCCCCGAGCGCCCGGGCCCGGAGGAGGCGGCGGCGGCGCCGUGCAACAUCAGCGUGCAGCGGCAGAUGCUGAGCUCGCUGCUCGUGCGCUGGGGCCGCCCGCGGGGCUUCCAGUGCGAUCUGCUGCUCUUCUCCACCAACGCGCACGGCCGCGCCUUCUUCGCCGCCGCCUUCCACCGCGUCGGGCCGCCUCUGCUCAUCGAGCACCUGGGGCUGGCGGCGGGCGGCGCGCAGCAAGACCUGCGCCUCUGCGUGGGCUGCGGCUGGGUGCGCGGCCGCCGCCCCGGCCGCCUCCGGCCCGCCGCCGCCGCCGGCGCCACCGCCGGGGCGCCCACCGCGCUGCCCGCCUACCCCGCGGCCGAGCCGCCCGGGCCGCUGUGGCUGCAGGGCGAGCCGCUGCAUUUCUGCUGCCUGGACUUCAGCCUGGAGGAGCUGCAGGGCGAGCCGGGCUGGCGGCUGAACCGCAAGCCCAUCGAGUCCACGCUGGUGGCCUGCUUCAUGACCCUGGUCAUCGUCGUGUGGAGCGUGGCCGCCCUCAUCUGGCCGGUGCCCAUCAUCGCCGGCUUCCUACCCAACGGCAUGGAGCAGCGCCGGACCACCGCCAGCGCCGCCGCCGCCGCCCCCGCCGCCGUGCCCGCGGGGACCACCGCCGCCGCCGCCGCUGCCGCCGCCGCCGCCGCCGCUGCGGCCGUCACCUCGGGAGCGGCGACCAAGUGACCCGCCCCGCUCCUCGCCGCGUCCGCCCUGUGUCCGCGCUCUCGGGUGCCUUUCCCGCCGGGAGACUCGCCGGUGUGCUUCGUGCCGUAGUGACCGUUAGUUCUUCUUCCGGGGAGGGGGCCGCCGGAGAGGCCCCAGCGUGUCGGAAGAGCAAGGGCUUGCCUCAGCGAAGAGAGCCACUCCGCCCAAAGCCACACGCUCUUCCUGGGGCACCACAUCCAGUGCCGGAUCAACAGGGGGCAUGAAGACCCGAGCCUCUCGGGAUGGCUCUGAAGGGUCCUCCCACCUUCAGGACUCCUCCCAGGACUGGCUCAGCCUUCACUGAGAAACCAUGGAGGUUUGACUUCUCCCUCUGCCACUCCUGCCUCCUCCCAUCCUUUCCCUCCCACAGGUGUUGGUCCAAAAGCACUGCCUAAUAAACCUGCACACUGAUCUCUAGCAUACAGCCUGCUUCUCCAGGAACCCAGCCUGUGAUGGGCAGUUUACCUAACAAGAUGCAGGCUUGCUCUAGCCACAUGGUCCUUAGGCACAUAGGAGCAGAUCACAUAAAUGAUUAUCAUUUGUAUUCUUUUUAUACAGAGCACACAUUCUAUUUUUGUCUCUUCCAUUUGGAUUGCUCUGUAAUAUCCACCAUCAGUGGUGAUAGGGGAAAUGUCCCCAAUUCCAAUUCUUGUUUAAUCGUUGCACCUCAUAGACGUACAUGUCGAAAGAAGAAGGCCUCUUUCUUUCCAUCUCAAAUCAUGGUGUCAGUCAGGAUACACUGGGCUAUGCUGCAAUAAUAAGCAACCCCAACAUCUCAGUGCCUUAACGCAAGAAAGAUUUAUUUCUUACUCAUGCUACAUGUCCAAAGUUGGCAGGGGUUGUGCCCUUUGGAAUGGCUCAGGGAUCCAGGUUGGAUGUGACCCAGACUCGACAAUGUGGCCACCAUCAUCUAGUGAGGAGAAAGGGAACUCUGGAGGGUCCCCCACGGCAAUUCAGUGCUCCAGCCAAGAAGUCACAUCCUGUCUGCUCAUUGCUUAGAAUGAGUCAUGUGGCUCCACCCAAUGACAAAGGAGCCAAAGAGGUCAUGUUUCCAGGUCUUGAGAAGAGAGGAGAACCUGAUAUCAGGAGCAGGAUUGGUGAAAACAACCCCCAACCCCACUGUACCUGUGUGAUCUACAUGUCAGCCAGAAGAUUUCCGGGACUUUGGUGAGUAGACAAAGGAUUCAUCCUAGGAGCCGUCUCCAGACUCUCCUCCUGUGACACCCACCUCACCUGCCCGCACUGGAAGCUAGGUUGCUGCUCCUGGGGAUUUCAAAAGUGAUGAGGUCAUCAGCCUGGUGGCUGUUCCAAUGUUUGGCUAAAUUGGGUCUCAAAAGAACUCAAUCUGGCAAAAAUACACUCUGGAUCCCUGUGAUGUAGGAGUCAUCUAGAGAGAAGGAUGCGAGGAAAGUUAGAAUUAAAAUGGGGAGAAAGAAAUGGAGAGGUCAGAACAGACAUCCCAUCUCUCCUGGCCUAGUGCCUUGCCCACCGUAUAGAAAUGACUAGUUCAUUGACAUUAGGGGCAAGAAGAGGGCUGGUCUUCACUAUUCCAAUUCUCUCCUUUCACUGGGGAAAAAAAUCAUCUAUCUCUCAGCUAGCUUUAGAGGUUUAGGACUAUAAGGAUUGGGAGAGUUAAGAACAACGUGAAGACAUUCAGUGCAUGGCUGAGUUGCUUGUGACAUAGCUACAUGGUUUCCCUCAGAACACUGGGAGGGACAAUCACUAAGGAGAGAAUGGGGAGGACAGAAACCAAUGGCCCAGGUUGCUGUGAGCUGGCUGCUGUGGUGCACACCUCACCCAGGGUGCGCGACGGUGCCUGUUCUGGGCAUCCACCUCCCAGGUCCCGUCUGGUCUCUUGCUGGUAGACCUUCUGCUGUCCCCACCCCCAGCCUAGGACUGUCCUCUUUAGACAGUGCCUUUGCCUUCCCAGCUCUGCCACACCUCUCCUGGGGCGUCUCUCCCAGUGUACUACUUGGUCCUUCUGGGCUGGGAGUGCCAAACCAUUUUGCCACGUGGAGGACUGCUUGGGGAACAAAUGAAAACCACCCUCACUGGGGGCAGGCGUCUACGAGGUAUCACCUCUCCCCUCUUCCCUGCUGGGUCUCCCGCGUUAGGGCAAACCUGCUCCGCGCAGUCUGCUCACACCAGGUGCCGGCAGACCCCGAGGUCACCCAGAUCCUCCGUCUGCUCCAGGUCUUACCCCGGGGACAAGCAUUCCUACUGGCCUCCAGCUCUCAGAACUUUUCAAGCACCCCCUCUUCUCUGGGCCUACAACCUCCCAUCGGCUCUGAGUAACUUUGUAAACUUACACGAUUUUUCCUCGUGACUCUCCUGGCAGCUCUGUCACUGUCAGCUGCUGCUGUUUUCUCCAAGGCCGGGGUCUCACAGACAGCAGGCCAGGACGGCUCACAGACAUCUUCUUCUCCGCUAUCAGCCUUCUGAAGAAGCUGCCGCCUUCUCUCAUCCCUCACUUCCAGCUGUCAAGACCGCGCAGUCCUCAGCGCAGCCUUGGCAUCCUCCACACCAGUGCUGACACUUGGUGAUUUCUGCCGCACCCCAGGACAGGCCAGGGUCCAAAGGGAGUGUUCUGAGGAGGAUGGCGAUGUACCAUGGUCCUCGGAGGACUGGUGGCGUGGCUGCUGCCCACUCAGGACAAUUAAGGGCCUCUCUCCUCGCCUCACCCUCAGCAUUUUCCUGGUGCUCUUAAUGCCUGAGUAUUCCCAGAACUGUCUCCUAAAGUACCAGGAUGAGCUUCUGUGCCACUAAGGACCCAUUAGUUUUGUGCUUUCAUAGGGGCAGUGAUGAAAAAUCAAAAUAAUUAGCAUCAUGAUAACACCCUAAGGUCUCAUUGUGACUCUGAGUAACAAAUUGUCUCCUGGAAAGCAUUUUUGGCACUCGAGGAAAGAGCCUACCUUCAGGGUGCCCCCCAGGACCUGCUUUGCUCUGUGACCAGCAAGGAGUCCUUGCUGCACUCCUGAGAAGUUCUAUCAGAUUUUCUGAGGGUCACUGUGCAUGGGAGGGGGCCUGGAGAGAUUGCGGACCACCUACCUCUCCAUCUCUCCACAGGUGUGACCCCUGGACUGCAGAUUUAAACCUGUUCAGAACCUCAAAGGGCCCAUCAGCCCCGUCCUGGUGGCUGUGCCGCUUUUUCUCUGAAACACCGCUGUUUCCCAGCAGCCAGCGACAACAUGAUCGCUCUAUUCCAGCCUACCUCCUUGUACGCUAGCCACUCUGGAGUUAAAUCAUGAUUCACACUGUGUAGUAAACUAGAAUUGUGAUUUUAUCAUUCUAGUAUCUUGGAAUCUUAUCUGAGAAUAUUUUAUGAUCAUAGGAGUGUCCUGGCUCAGGUUAAAUUCCAUAUUCUUUGGUUCUCCCAGUAAGAAAGAUGCUCUUUUCUUACCUUAGGCUUUAACAUUAUACCCUUCCUCACCUCUUGUGUUUCUAGAUAAUUCUGCAGCUGCUAGAGGAGGACUACACUGGCAAUAAUAAUAAUAAAUAUCCUCCUCCUCCUCAUCAUCAUCAUAAAUACUAUUAUUAUUAAUUGUUAUUUUGAACUGGAGAGGGGAGGAGAAGUAGAAGGAGAAACAAUAACUAAGAGGAGAGAAGAAAAAGAGAAUUAAGAACACCAGCUUCAAAAACAGAAAAAUUAUCCCUACCUCAUCCCACCCCCACCCCCACAUACACUUGCAAAGGCACAAAGGGCGGAGAAAUGGAGAGGAUGACCUGGAGCCACAGCCCAGGGCAGGUGAACAAUGCAGAGUAGGAAGGGCAUCUGGGGGCCCUACAAUGGGGUGCCUACCAGCAGGAGAACAUGGGGACAACAGCUGGCAGUAGGUUCUGUGGCUUCCCUCCUGGAAGGGCUCUCCCUGAGGGGACAGCUCCAGCAACUCUCCUCUGCCCAAAAUGGUUUUCUCCUUCAGUCCUGGGAGGCUCGAGUCCCCGAGGUCCGAAAUGUCUCACCCCCCCGGGGAGGCACAUCCCACGGUGCCAACUCCAGACUGUCACCGUGUCCCCGACUGGGCAGCCGCGGUGGUUAACACGGCUCAGAAAGGACACUUUGCUAAGAGCAUCAUCCUUGAACUCUUGCUUGAACACAGAUAAUGUAUAUUCAUUGUAGAAGUGCUAGAAAUGUUGAUAAAUAAAAAAGAAGGAAAAGAGAACUUGUCUUUCUAACACCCAAAAAUAAGCCCUGCACGCAUUGUGGUGCGUGUACUCCCAGUCUGUUUUUACCCAUGUAUGUGCAUCCAUGAGUAAUUAUUUAUGUUAAAAAUGGGAUUGUGCUGUACUUAACCGUUUUCAAAACUUUUCUUUGUUACACAUGCUACGUCAUUGAAAAAAUAAGAAAAUGCCCUUCAUAAGAUCAAUGAAUCGAUAUCAGCGACAGUCCCAGACCCCCAGUGACCGUGGCUAAUAUUUAUCGACAAAUGUUCAUGCCUAUGUUAUACAUGUGUUAACCCCAGCAGGCACCUCUUCUCAGCGCCCUGCCUGCCCCACCCUCGGGUCCCCUCCCUCUGCAGAGGGUAGUAGAGGGCUUCUCAGGGCAGGAGGUGUUAAAGGCUGUCUUCCUGAUGUGCGGGUCCAACAUCAGCAGCGCAGGAUGUUGACACUUGUCGGAGGGCCAAAGGCUUGACGGAGAUGGGGCGGUGGGGAGGUUGUCUAUCUUUCCCAUCCCAAGUUUAUCAUCUCCAGACACAUAUCGAAGCCAGACCCAACUUACCACCCCUCCUGGAGACAUGUCUCCGCUCUUGUGUCUGAGAUUUCUGAUGAGGCUGAUAAGGAACGGAACAGAACUUCAGAGGAAGAACAAUGCACUUCACCUCCUCGACUCAUAACCAUGGAGCUGCCUUGUAUUGUCUGGGCUUAUUUGAUGUCUUCGGUGCGAAAAUGAAGUCUGAGAUUCAAUAAGCAGGAAAGAUAUUGCUCCUGUAUAAUGCUGCCCAAAAAGCUGUCACAAUGCCACAUGACGGAGUAAUGGCUGCAUUCAGAUGUCCCUGCUGCUGGGGGCAGGGGCUGAAGACAGAACACCCAGAGAGAGGAAGGAGAUGGGUCCAGAGUUGGAGGAACCAGCCAAGGACAGGAGCCAUCAAUGGGCCAAAGGUACUGAGCACCACUCACCAUCAAUGGGCUGUGUCGAGGUCUUCUGUGAUGGAUCUCGUCUAGGAUUGGGUUCCCUAGAGGCGGAGGCUGAGAUAGAGAGACUUUCACAGGUGAUUUAUGGAGGGGUGCUCUCAGGAGGAGGGGGCCGAGGGAAGCAGAAUGUGUCUCAGCUGGAGUCAGCUUCGGCCUGACCCCACAGGAGCUCUGGAGCAGGAACUGCACCAUAGAGUUGCCCCACCUGGAGGCAAAGGGCUCUCAUUUCAUUUUAUACUCUCAUUUCAGUCAGUUUGGCCAAAGUCUGGAUGCCGGGGGCCGUGUAGCCUCCUGGCAGCUCCCAUUUAGCUGGGCCUGGUUCUCCAGAGAAGGAGGCAGCUGAGAGAUGCUAGCUGCCCACGUUCACAGCACCUGGGGAUGGGUGUGCAGGCCCCCAGGAUAGCGGGAGACCCCACGUUGCUCUGGGGUCCUGUUCCCAGCAAUGGAUGGCAGGGUGCGUAGUGCCCAGACAGCAUGAAGCUCAGUGUGCCACUUGAGCUUUAAACUCCCCAUCCAGCUGGCGUGCUGAUAUCUAGGCCUUUGCCAGUCUCAGGUGAGGUCUGGCCAGCUGGCCUUGCCUCUGGGGGUCCUGCACAUGUGCCAACUGAGGUACAGCUGGCUCUGUCAUGCUGGCCCUCCCUGAUGAAGUCAGAAGCCCCUGCUAUUUGCCUCUGUGUUGAAAGUCCUGGCUCCCCAAUACUUGCAUUAUAAGGGCAGUGCCACAGUAUUAGCAUUAGCAUUAACAUUAGUAUUGUAUUAGUAUUGGAUACAGUAUUAGUAUCGCUAAGGCUGCCAGCAGACUGGUAAUAACAUGGGACAGGGCACCGGGGCACCUGCUUACGGUACCUGCUUUACCAUUAAUGAGCUGUUUGGCCAUGGGCAAAGCGCUCCUCCUCGGAGCCUCAGUUUCCUCGUCGACAGAACAAGAUUGUUGGGCCAGGCGAGGCCUCAGUCCCUCCAGGCCUGCAGUCCCACGUUCUGGCCUCCCCUCCCCAUCUUCCAGGCGAGUCAGACCACACCAGCUACAAAGAAUCACCCCUCAAGUGUCACUUCACCAGGCAGACUGAAACAGAGGCCAAGGCCACUCACUUUUCUGGGUGCCUUGAACGGGAAAAACAUGGAACAAAUAAGAAAAGAGGAUUUUUAAGAUAGCAGAAUGAUUUUUGCCACUAGAUUGUCUAAAUUGGCUAUUUGUGUGGGUCUCAUAAUUUACAGAAUUAUGAUUUCUGCAUUCUUCUAUUCAAAUGACCAGAGCCACGGAAUAAAGAUUUUUCAAGCCAAGGAAGCUAAUGAGAAAUGAGAAAUUUUUAACAUUUAAAAAGUGACGUCUUUAACUUUGUCAGUUAACACUGGGUGUCAUGCUCUAAGGCAGGGUCCACACAGGUAAGGAAGAGAGAAAUUAGCAUGGGCUGUGUGCCUGCUCAUGCCAGCAGCUUGACCUUCCAAAUCCUCAAGGAAUCUUGUAGGGUAGGUAAUAUUCUCCACAUCUUAAUGACUUUUGAACAGACUCAGGCUCUGGGAGGCUGAAUAUCUUACCCAAGUUCAUAGCUCAGGCACGAGAGAGUGGUCACAGAGCCCUGUCUCUCCUGUGCAUCCGUGCCGCCACUAAGGUUUACCCAGUUUGGUAAUUCCACUGAAAGUUACUUUAAAACAAACAAACGGGGCUGGCCCCG